UAGGGAAUCUUCCGCAAUGGACGAAAGUCUGACGGAGCAACGCCGCGUGAGUGAUGAAGGUUUUCGGAUCGUAAAGCUCUGUUGUUAGGGAAGAACAAGUGCGAGAGUAACUGCUCGCACCUUGACGGUACCUAACCAGAAAGCCACGGCUAACUACGUGCCAGCAGCCGCGGUAAUACGUAGGUGGCAAGCGUUGUCCGGAAUUAUUGGGCGUAAAGGGCUCGCAGGCGGUUUCUUAAGUCUGAUGUGAAAGCCCCCGGCUCAACCGGGGAGGGUCAUUGGAAACUGGGAAACUUGAGUGCAGAAGAGGAGAGUGGAAUUCCACGUGUAGCGGUGAAAUGCGUAGAGAUGUGGAGGAACACCAGUGGCGAAGGCGACUCUCUGGUCUGUAACUGACGCUGAGGAGCGAAAGCGUGGGGAGCGAACAGGAUUAGAUACCCUGGUAGUCCACGCCGUAAACGAUGAGUGCUAAGUGUUAGGGGGUUUCCGCCCCUUAGUGCUGCAGCUAACGCAUUAAGCACUCCGCCUGGGGAGUACGGUCGCAAGACUGAAACUCAAAGGAAUUGACGGGGGCCCGCACAAGCGGUGGAGCAUGUGGUUUAAUUCGAAGCAACGCGAAGAACCUUACCAGGUCUUGACAUCCUCUGACAACCCUAGAGAUAGGGCUUUCCCUUCGGGGACAGAGUGACAGGUGGUGCAUGGUUGUCGUCAGCUCGUGUCGUGAGAUGUUGGGUUAAGUCCCGCAACGAGCGCAACCCUUGAUCUUAGUUGCCAGCAUUUAGUUGGGCACUCUAAGGUGACUGCCGGUGACAAACCGGAGGAAGGUGGGGAUGACGUCAAAUCAUCAUGCCCCUUAUGACCUGGGCUACACACGUGCUACAAUGGACAGAACAAAGGGCUGCGAGACCGCAAGGUUUAGCCAAUCCCAUAAAUCUGUUCUCAGUUCGGAUCGCAGUCUGCAACUCGACUGCGUGAAGCUGGAAUCGCUAGUAAUCGCGGAUCAGCAUGCCGCGGUGAAUACGUUCCCGGGCCUUGUACACACCGCCCGUCACACCACGAGAGUUUGUAACACCCGAAGUCGGUGAGGUAACCUUUAUGGAGCCAGCCGCCGAAGGUGGGACAGAUGAUUGGGGUGAAGUCGUAACAAGGUAGCCGUAUCGGAAGGUGCGGCUGGAUCACCUCCUUUCUA
rnacentral:rRNA from 1 species